AUUGAACGCUGGCGGCAGGCCUAACACAUGCAAGUCGAGCGGAUGAGGGGAGCUUUCUCCUGGAUUCAGCGGCGGACGGGGGAGUAAUGCCUGUGAAUCUCCCUCGUAUGGCUGGAUGACGUCCGGAGACGGCCGCUAAUACUACCUACUUCCUGCUGGAGCAAGUUGGUGGUCUUCGGACCGCACGCUAUCAUAUGAGUCUAGGCCGGAUUAGUUAGUUUGUGGGUUAAAGGACUAACAAGGCGACGAUGCGUAACUGGUCUGAGAGGAUGAGUAGUCACACUGGAAGUGAGACACGGUCCAGACUCCUACGGGAGGCAGCAGUGGGGAAUCUUGGAGCAUGAGCGAAAGCCUGUUCCAGACAUGCCGAGGGUGUGAAGAAGGUCUUCGGAUUGUAAAGCACUUUAAGUUGGGAGGAAGGGCAGUAAGUUAAUAACGUGCUGUUUUGACGUUACAAGCAGAAUAAGCACCGGCUAAAUUAGUG
rnacentral:rRNA from 1 species